GGGGACGAUCGGUUUCGACGGUAGUUGUCCAGCGAGGGGAAGCGGGCCGAGAACCCAGAGUCAACUCGUUAAUGUCCUCUGGAAACCAAUAAGUGCCGAAACCAAGCGCACUGACUUCGCUCUCGCUGCCUGAUCAGCGUUAGCAGUCUGGAACCCCGGGCUUGCUCCUGACCCGGAUCGUUCCAUCAUCUAAGGAGCCACUGCUUCCGGCCUUCGUCAUCGGGGUCGGGUGAACAACCUAGAGUGACUGAGUCCGUCGACGACGUGUUCGUGCGAGCGUCGGGACUGAGAAAACGCCUUUCACGGACUGCGCCCGGAGAAGCCCUGGCUUCGCACUAUCGGACGCGGGUUCGAUUCCCGCCGUCUCCACCA
rfam:Brachybacterium phenoliresistens strain W13A50 genomic scaffold V9__scaffold_09, whole genome shotgun sequence.